CCUACCAAUAUGACUUUGAUAGGUCCCUCUGCAUGGCAUGGACGGCAGAAUACCCUCUCUUAGUUGAAAAUGUUAAGCCACCAGAUGGAAUCACAGUCUAUAGAGGUAAUUACACUUGUUAUGCCAUGUAUGACGGGAUUGGUAAAUUCAUGGGUAAUUUUUCUAAAGGUUAUUGUGCCACUUACAGAACUGUCCCCAUACGUCUGUUGCAACAUCACACCAGGUCAUUGGGGGAUAUUUACUGGUUAUGUGGGGAUCUACAGUUAAGAUCUAGGCUGGAAACUGAGUGGUGUGGUGAGUGUACCCUAGCCAAAGUUAUCAUGCCCAUUCAUAUUAUUUCUGAUAAUCAUCAUGACACAUACGACGCUCCACAUACACCAGCCAGAGUGAAGCGCGAAACCCCAGUAAAAGGCAGUUUUGACCCCCACAUUUACAUAGAUGCCGUUGGGAUACCUAGGGGGGUGCCUAAUGAAUUUAAAGCUAGAGAUGAAGUAGCUGUAGGAUUUGAAUCACUUUUUACCAUAGUCACUGCCAACAAAAACCUUAAUUGGAUUAACUACAUUUAUUACAACCAACAGCGUUUUGUCAACUACACCAGGGAUGCCCUCCAGGGCCUGGCCGAGCAGUUGCAGGCCACAUCCCAGAUGGCCUUAGACAUGAUUCUAGCUGAAAAGGGGGGUGUAUGUA